GACGAACGCUGGCGGCGUGCUUAACACAUGCAAGUCGAACGCUGAAGCUCAGCUUUUGUUGGGUGGAUGAGUGGCGAACGGGUGAGUAACACGUGAGUAACCUGCCCCCUUCUUUGGGAUAACGCCCGGAAACGGGUGCUAAUACUGGAUAUCCACUGGUCUUCGCAUGGGGGCUGGUGGAAAGGGUUUUUUUGGUGGGGGAUGGGUUCGCGGCCUAUCGGCUUGGUGGUGGGGUGAUGGCCUACCAAGGCCUUGACGGGUGGCCGGGCUGAGCAGGUAACCGGGAACUUUGGGACGGGGAUGAGGCCCAGAGUAGGACGGAGUGGGGAAGUGGGGAAUAUGGCACAAUGGGCGAAAGAGUGAUGCAGCGUCGGCGCGUGAGGGAUGGGGGCCUUAGAGUUGUGUACCUCUUUAGCUAAUGGUCAAGCCGAAACAAUGGUUGUGGUGAGGGUAGUGGGUGAAGAAGCGCCGGCUAACUACGUG
rnacentral:rRNA from 1 species